rnacentral:rRNA from 1 species
AGUGAACGCUGGCGGUAGGCCUAACACAUGCAAGUCGAACGGUAACAGGUCUUCGGAUGCUGACGAGUGGCGAACGGGUGAGUAAUACAUCGGAACGUGCCUAGUAGUGGGGGAUAACUACUCGAAAGAGUGGCUAAUACCGCAUGAGAUCUACGGAUGAAAGCAGGGGAUCGCAAGACCUUGCGCUACUAGAGCGGCCGAUGGCAGAUUAGGUAGUUGGUGGGGUAAAAGCUUACCAAGCCGACGAUCUGUAGCUGGUCUGAGAGGACGAUCAGCCACACUGGGACUGAGACACGGCCCUGACUCCUACGGGAGGCAGCAGUGGGGAAUUUUGGACAAUGGGCGAAAGCCUGAUCCAGCAAUGCCGCGUGCAGGAUGAAGGCCUUCGGGUUGUAAACUGCUUUUGUACGGAACGAAAAGCCCCGGGUUAAUACCCUGGGGUCAUGACGGUACCGUAAGAAUAAGCACCGGCUAACUACGUGCCAGCCGCCGCUGUAA